AUUGAACGCUGGCGGCAUGCUUUACACAUGCAAGUCGAACGGCAGCGCGGGGGCAACCCUGGCGGCGAGUGGCGAACGGGUGAGUAAUGCAUCGGAACGUAUCCUGUAAUGGGGGAUAACGUAGCGAAAGUUACGCUAAUACCGCAUACGCUCGAGAGAGGAAAGUGGGGGGAUCGCAAGACCUCACGUUAUAGGAGCGGCCGAUGUCCGAUUAGCUAGUUGGUGGGGUAAAGGCCUACCAAGGCGACGAUCGGUAGCUGGUCUGAGAGGAUGAUCAGCCACACUGGGACUGAGACACGGCCCAGACUCCUACGGGAGGCAGCAGUGGGGAAUUUGGACAAUGGCGAAAGCCUGAUCCAGCCAUGCCGCGUGCGGGAAGAAGGCCUU
rnacentral:rRNA from 1 species